rnacentral:lncRNA from 1 species
AUGGUGUGUGCAGAGAGGUUCUGGAAACAAUGGGUUCCAUCCUCAUGGCGGGGUCAGGGUAGAGCUGGUUGGAGCCUGGGCCUGUCGCUUGAGGGCCACCCUCUCAUUUGUUGUGGUGUCUCAGAUCCUCUCCAGUGUUGCCAUGUCUCUGAGACCCUGUCCCGUGUCGCGGUGUCUCUGAGGCCCUCUCCUGUGUCAUCGUGUCUCUCACGCCCUCUCCCGUGCUGUGGUGUCGCAGUGUCUCCGAGACCCUCUCCCAUGUCGCGGUGUCUCCGAGACCCUCUCCCGUGUCGCGGUGUCUCCGAGACCCUCUCCCGUGUCAUGGUGUCUCUGAGACCCUCUCCCGUGUCACGGUGUCUCGAGACCCUCUCCCGUCGCGGUGUCUCAGACCCUCUCCCGUGUUGCGGUGUCUCAGACCCUCUCCGUGUCGCGGUGUCUCCGAGACCCUCUCCGUGUCGCGGUGUCUCUCAUGCCCUCUCCCGUGUCGUGGUGUCUCUGAGACCCUCUCCCAUGUCACGGUGUCUCCGAGACCCUCUCCCGUGUCACGGUGUCUCCGAGACUCUCUUCCGUGUCGUGGUGUCUCUCACGCCCUCUCCCGUGUCACGGUGUCUCGAGACCCUCUCCGUGUCGCGGUGUCUCGAGACCUCUCCCGUGUCGCGGUGUCUCCGAGACCCUCUCCCGUGUCGCGGUGUCUCUCAGACCGUCUCCAUGUCGCGGUGUCUC